rnacentral:lncRNA from 1 species
AGGGAGAAAGGUUUUAAUUCCAUACCAGAUAUUAGAGAAAAAAAAAGGUGAGAUGAAGAGAUGUAGGGAUUUUUGUUCUCUGGUGAAGAAGAUACAUGAAAAUAUAGAUGAAUUUUUUAUGGAGGAUUUAUAGAGAAACAUGGCCUGCAUAUAGCCAUUUUUGUGUCAAGAGAAAUUUGUUGAUUUGUUGAUGAUAGGUAGAUGAGUAAAUUGGUGGUAUUUAUAGAGAAAUAUGGAUACAUUUAAGAAGUGCAUGUUGGACAAAUGGAAUGUUGCAUGGAAGAUACAGAGAAAAAUCUUCCAUAGAAGACACAUGGAAGAUUGCAUUGGUUUGAGUAUUAAUGAGAGGAAUUUGCAGGUCUUCUGAUACAGUGAAAUUUGCAGGUCUUCUGAUAAAUAGAAUUUUUAGAAAAGAGGAGUAUAUUGUGAGUAGGGUUAGAAUUAGGUUUUGUAUUAUAGGGUUAGUUUUUAGAAAAGAGGAGUAUAUUGUGAGUAGGGUUAGAAUUAAGUUUUGUAUUAUAUGGUUAGAAUUAGGUUUUGUAUUAGGUUUGAAAAAAGGUUUGGAAAAAUGGGUUAUUAGGUUUGGUAUUAGGUUUGGGUGAAUUAGGG